rnacentral:tRNA from 1 species
UCGAUAACCAGGCCGAUGCGUUGCAGGCGGGCCUGGUCGUCAUGGGCGGGCGAGGGGAGAGCUUCAUGCGCCAUCGGGUGCUGGGCUCGACUGCCGAAC